ACCCGUGAUCGUGAAGGUCGCAGCCUGAUUAUGCCAGCAUUGAAGCGGUGAUAACUUCAGGGUAAAACAUGGAAAUUCAGCCAUGACGGCUAUGAUAAUGCUAUUCUUUUAACAAGAGUUGACUGAAUGGAAGAUUAACUCAUCUACAGUAGCAACCCAGAGCACGAAAUGAAUCCCAGAAGAGGAAGUCAUCAAGACAGUCCUGCCCUAUCAUGCCAUCAUUUGAGGCCUUGUGACACUCAGUAACUGGAAUUCUGCCAGAGUGAGGCGUCUGCGUGGAUUGGAGGUGAGGCCCCAGCACGUGGAUAAGCGGCAAGUCCCCAACAUGGACUGCAGGCGAGACCCUGGUACAAAAUGGAGACAAUGUCCUGUUGUGGCCCCGUCCAGCGCAGACUGACUGGGAUGGGAGGACUGUAAAUUAUACACUGUUUGUUUCUUGAUUUUUCUAUUUUAUUCCUAUGCUGCACUUUUUAUUGCUUUGUUUUGUAUUUUAUAUCAAAGAAUCUGUACUUGAUCAUGUGUAUCUGUGUAAAUCUGUAUGUAAGAUGGCGCCAUAAGUGGUGACUUGUAAAUUUUUCAUUGAACUUAUGUGAGUGUUUGUGACAAUAAAGCUAUACCUAAUUCUAGAUUACAGACAUGGGAUCACUGCAACACUUCAAAAGAGUGUUCAGCCCUGCCUAAUGCUUCUUAUAAUAAGCUUAGCAACCAUAGUAACAUCAUCGCCAGCAUCUCAUCCAUCAUUUACUAUUUCCUGCAUAUUGUGACAAUGUUUCAAAGUUAGAAAGAUGUGACACAAUUGAGAGUGGUGAUUAUUAAAUUAAUAGAUUGUAUUGAAAACAUGUUCCAUUGGGGAAUAAAGACAUGAGGGGACGAGGCAAGAAAUCCGAUGUGAGCAAGGUAUAGAAGUCAUUGGCUUGAUAUUGCACGUCAGACAAGACAAUACAUAUGGAUUUCUCGGUAUACUUCACCUCAAAUAGAAU